UACGUAGGCAGCAAGCGUUGUUCGGAGUUACUGGGCGUAAAGGGUGCGUAGGCGGUUGUUUAAGUUUGGUGUGAAAUCUCCCGGCUCAACUGGGAGGGUGCGCCGAAUACUGAAUGACUAGAGUGCGGGAGAGGAUAGUGGAAUUCCUGUUGUAGCGGUGAAAUGCGUAGAUAUCAGGAGGAACACCGGUGGUGUAGACGGCUAUCUGGACCGUAACUGACGCUGAGGCACGAAAGCGUGGGUAGCAAACAGG
rnacentral:rRNA from 1 species